GACGAACGCUGGCGGCGUGCUUAACACAUGCAAGUCGAACGAGUGGCGGACGGGUGAGUAAUGCUUGGGAAUCUGGCUUAUGGAGGGGGAUAACGACGGGAAACUGUCGCUAAUACCGCGUACCAUAGGAUGAGCCCAAGUGGGAUUAGGUAGUUGGUGGGGUAAUGGCCUACCAAGGCGACGAUCUCUAGCUGGGCUGAGAGGAUGAUCCGCCACACUGGGACUGAGACACGGCCCAGACUCCGACGGGAGGCAGCAGUGGGGAAUUUUGGACAAUGGGCGCAAGCCUGAUCCAGCCAUGCCGCGUGUCUGAAGAAGGCCUUCGGGUUGUAAAGGACUUUUGUCAGGGAAGCGGUACCUGAAGAAUAAGCACCGGCUAACUACGUGCCAGCAGCCGCGGUAAUAC
rnacentral:rRNA from 1 species